CCUAGAGUUCUUUGAGUGAUGUCAUAUGUUUAAGCUGACUAAAUAGCUAGGCAAAGUGAUUGAUAGUGAGUCCAGUACACUUACAUUACAGUUAUUUGGACUUCUUCAAAUUGAAGCUGAUAAAGUAUCUUUUUAUGGUACCUCUUUCUGAUAGAAUACAUCUUGUCAAGACGUCUAGCUCUGAUGAGAUGACAAUGUUGCGUUCAUGGCAUAAUCACUUAACCUCGGGGCACAGUCGAGGCAAUUCAAACUAUGGCUUCUUACAGUUGUUUGUUUCUGAAUCAUGCAAAGUUAAAAAUUCACCUGAAGGUCAUAAAUCCUCAUGAGCUUGGCUAGCUCCUCCGCUAUCUUGCCAGUUUUGGUGGCCUUGUCUCUGAACAAGGUGAUGAGUUUAGGCGUGUGUCUGUCCAGCUUUUUACAAGAAUUGAUUGCGCAGGUUAACGUUGUUGAUUCGGUGGAACUCUGCAAAAACCUGUACAUGGACAGAAUUACAAAGAAAUGUACAAAGAUGAAUAAGGAACUGAAUUGUGAAUGUAUUUUUUCAAUUGGCAGAACCAAGGUCAAAAUAGAAAGUUAAUUGUCAUUCUUUAAUUUAAAACAGGCUGUAUAAUGUUAUCUAUAGGAAAUUAAAAUAAUAAACCUCUGUAUACUUUGUU